rnacentral:rRNA from 1 species
GAUGAACGCUGGCGGCGUGCCUAAUACAUGCAAGUCGAGCGAACAGAUGAGGAGCUUGCUCCUCUGACGUUAGCGGCGGACGGGUGAGUAACACGUGGAUAACCUACCUAUAAGACUGGGAUAACUUCGGGAAACCGGAGCUAAUACCGGAUAAUAUAUUGAACCGCAUGGUUCAAUAGUGAAAGACGGUUUUGCUGUCACUUAUAGAUGGAUCCGCGCCGCAUUAGCUAGUUGGUAAGGUAACGGCUUACCAAGGCAACGAUGCGUAGCCGACCUGAGAGGUGGACAGACACACUGGAACCGGGACACGGUCCAGAACCCUUAGGGAGGGAGGAGGGGGGAAAUUUUCCGAAAGGGGGGAAGCCCUAACGGGACAAGGCCGGGGGAGGGAGGAAGGUGUUGGGUUGGUAAAACCUUUUUAUUGGGAAAAAAAAAAGUUGUAAAAAACUAUGCCGGUUUGACGGGAACCAAAAAAAAAAGCCACGGCAAAUUAGUG